GAUGAACGCUGGCGGCGUGCCUAAUACAUGCCAGUCGAGCGAACAGACGAGGAGCUUGCUCCUCUGACGUUAGCGGCGGACGGGUGAGUAACACGUGGAUAACCUACCUAUAAGACUGGGAUAACUUCGGGAAACCGGAGCUAAUACCGGAUAAUAUAUUGAACCGCAUGGUUCAAUAGUGAAAGACGGUUUUGCUGUCACUUAUAGAUGGAUCCGCGCCGCAUUAGCUAGUUGGUAAGGUAACGGCUUACCAAGGCAACGAUGCGUAGCCGACCUGAGAGGGUGAUCGGCCACACUGGAACUGAGACACGGUCCAGACUCCUACGGGAGGCAGCAGUAGGGAAUCUUCCGCAAUGGGCGAAAGCUUGACGGAGCAACGCCGCGUGAGUGAUGAAGGUCUUCGGAUCGUAAAACUCUGUUAUUAGGGAAGAACAAAUGUGUAAGUAACUAUGCACGUCUUGACGGCACCUAAUCAGAAAGCCACGGCUAACUACGUG
rnacentral:rRNA from 1 species